rnacentral:rRNA from 1 species
UACAGAGGUCUCAAGCGUUGUUCGGAUUCAUUGGGCGUAAAGGGUGCGUAGGCGGCGCGGUAAGUCGGGUGUGAAAUCUUGGAGCUUAACUCCGAAACUGCAUUCGAUACUGCCGUGCUUGAGGACUGGAGAGGAGACUGGAAUUUACGGUGUAGCGGUGAAAUGCGUAGAUAUACGGAGGAACACCUGCGGCGAAGGCGGGUAGCUGGGCCAACACUGACGCUGAUGCGCGAAAGCUAGGGGGAGCAAACGGG